GUGUCAGCAGCCGCGGUAAUACGGAGGUGGCGAGCGUUGUCCGAAGUUACUGGGCGUAAAGCGCGCGUAGGCGGGGAACCAAGUCCGCUGUGAAAGCCUGAGGCUCAACCUCAGCGGGUCGGUGGAUACUGGUUCUCUUGAAGGUGCUAGGGGGAGAUGGAAUUACAGGUGUAGCGGUGAAAUGCGUAGAUAUCUGUAGGAACACCAGUGGCGAAGGCGGUCUCCUGGGGCAUUCUUGACGCUGAGGCGCGAAAGCUGGGGGAGCGAACGGGAUUAGAAACCCCGGUAGUCC
rnacentral:rRNA from 1 species